UCACGAGGUUGGUAGUUCCCCCACUUUCCUACUGUGACGAGCAAAGUGCUAUAUAACCCGAGACAAAGACGCACACGCCGCUUUCCUGUGGAGGAUGGAGUCGAAGUAACGUGGAGAGCGUAGAAUGGAGGACAGGAAGCCACAGCAAACAUUACAUGAAGUAAAAUGGCGUACUGGUAACAUCUUCACAUCAUUGCUUGCACACCCCCCAUCAGCCUGUGGAUGUGUCGCAUUUUCAACAUGAAGUCCAAUAUUUAUUAUCACCAUCAUCAGACAUCAGAAAUUAAGCUCAUCUAUCAGUAUGUCAUAACGCAGAAAUGAAGGCUUCUUCCGCGAGUCUUGCAGGAAAAGGAAUCAGAAAAGGAAGUGUACCACACUUCCUUGGGCUGCUGCAAAUUUCACCCUUGUACAUGUACAUUAUCUUGGUAACUGAGAACGCACAACUGUUUUCUCCCAGUGUUCCAGUUUGAGGUGGUGGGCUCCCACAGAAAACAAGAAAAUUGUCAAAAUCAAAGUUAUAUUUUAACACGUUUGAGAUACAAACUUAUGUAACAGUGCUGAGUGUGUGCAGGAGGAGAGCUCUUGUGCUAUUGACUCUCUUAGGGUAGCACCCCAACCCAAGAAAAGUCUCAAAAUAUAAAUUACGCCUCACAAAAAAGCCAACUCAACAAAUCUCCUAAAGUUGAAUAUGGGAACCUAGUCGAGAAACAAACCAAACUAAAUCAAUCAUACCCUUCUUCCUAGCGAACCUCUUCUCUUUGGUCGAGGUUGUUGGGGGGCCCAUGUCAGAUGCGUUCACACACCAGAGAGCUAAGUGUGAACCAUCUGCACCUGUUGAGGCGGGGACUGUAAUGUCCCAACUUCCUGCAGUACAGUUCUUUGUUGCUACUUGAUGUGUUGCAGUUCUCACUUUGGCCAGUUUUUUUUUUUUUCUAAAUUAACUGGACUGCAGUGGGUGAGGAUGCUAUCCUAAGUAGACUAUACUCAGCACAUGUAGAACUCUUCUUGCUUUGGGAUGAAGUUAAAAAAAGAUAUUCUCCCUUGUAUUUUUGUUUUUUCAUUUGUCAAUAUGAUCAUGCAAGAGUGCCUGGAGAACAGUUGUGCUUAAUUUUAUGUUUCAAAUUUUCUGUGUGUAAAUUGAAAAUCUUUUUAAGUGAACAUGCUGGUAAUAAGGAAUGUUUUGUCCCAACUUACAACUGGACAGCAGGAUUACCUUACUUCAUGUAAUGUUUGUUGUAAUAAACAAGGAUCAAAUGGA